UAAUUUGACCAUUUCAUUUGUCUAUACCUUUACAACUUUUAAAGAAAUAAAUCAAACUUUUAUCAUUUUUGGAAGUUAAAGUGCAAUUUUAUCAAUACUAAUUUAAAGUUUUGUAAAUUAUAAAAGGGUCUAAAUGAAAAAAAGUUUCAUUUGAGAGUAAACGGAACCCUACCAGCACCUAGUUUUGCGUUUGAUUUAUACUAUCAAAUGAAAUUAAGUAUUUAGUUUGUACCUGUAAAACCCAAUUUUUACCAGGCCCAAAUACCCAAUUACGGCCCAUUCACAUACAAAACAAAAACAAAAUAGUCCAUUACAAAAUUUAAAGCCCAAGCUUAAAUGCUGGCCCAAAACAUAAUUUUGGCCCGUUAAAACAAGCUCAAUGGCCCAAAAUUUUUUUUAAAUAAAUAACAAACCCUAGCUUUGAGGCUCUCUCUUUGGCCAGCGCCGCCACCACCUCCACGCACUACCCACGUUCUCCACCAUCAUUCACCAUGCACCAACGUACCAUGUCCAAGCCACGUUCACCAUACCUGCAAAUGUGCACAAAAACGAUUGUAAAUGGCUAUAUAAGGCCACGAAUAUGUAAUCUUGUUUUUUUUUUUCGGAGAAUACAAAAUAUACACAAAGAAUCAAAGAGUAGUUAAACGAAUACUUCAAGGUGGUUGUUCAUCAUUAUUUUAUUCUGUUUUUUCAUCAUUAUUUUAUUCUGUUUUUUCUUUUUUUCCAUUUUCAUUUGAGUCCACGAAAUACAAGCUAACAUUUUAUAAAAGGGAGAGACGUACCUUUCGAUUCGCUGGCAAAAGGGGGUGAACUUCGGCCUUCCGAUGGCUGUUUACGGCCGAGCAUGAGGCGGCGAAUGAGAGCUGGGUUUUAGUCCUUUGACUGGGAAGUGGGGAAGAAGAAAGAGUUUUGGUUUUUUUUUUUUAAAAAAACCAAAAGGGUAAAAUGUUUUUAAGGAGAAAGAGAAUUUGAAAAAAGGGGUUUUGGGUUUUCUAAAUCUUUAAUGUUUUUAAAAAAAAUAAUAAAUGUU
rnacentral:lncRNA from 1 species